UUUUGUUGAGAAGUUGUCCAGAACACAGGAACCAAGAGGAGAAAGAAAAGAACAAAUUGUUUGGAACUCAUAUCAUUAGUAAUGUUUGGACUGAGCAAACAGACCUUGGUUCAAUGGAUUCUGACUCUCUAUACCACUUAAGGAAGGUGUAGAGAAGUACAACUAAGAAAUUCUGUGCACACAAACUUUUUGGGUUUCUUUUAUUCCCUAUCUUGCCACGGCAGUAUAGAAAACAUUUGGUAAAAACCUGUUAAGCUGUUAGGACCCCUCUGGCUAAAAUCAGUAUUGCGAAAAGAAGUCUUGCAGCAUUGAGAGCUUCCCCAAACCGUAAUGGUCUAAGCUUGGAGAUGCUGUUUAUGCAUUACUCAUUUACAUGGGCUUAAAUUUUUAAAUCUUACUUUUCUGUGUGUGCAUAUUUCCAAAAAGGAUCCAACUUAUCAGAUUGGACUUUUCAUCUUUUCUGAACAAGGAUGAAGUUGCUGUCCUCUGCUGGCCCUCUCUCGUUUUGAUGCACAUGAUCAUCACUGCAGUUACGUUUUUGGCCCAAGCGCACAAGUAG
rnacentral:lncRNA from 1 species